CGAUGCAGGCAUUGGUUCGUGGGCAACCCGGCAUGGAUGCCGGGUUAGCCGCGCUGGGCCAUGGAUGGCCCUUCGCGGCGGCCCACGAACCAAUGCCGGAGUGA
rfam:Pseudomonas fluorescens F113, complete genome.